UACGUAGGGGGCAAGCGUUAUCCGGAUUUACUGGGUGUAAAGGGAGCGUAGACGGCCUUGCAAGUCUGGUGUGAAAGCCCGGGGCUCAACCCCGGGACUGCAUUGGAAACUGCAUGGCUGGAGUGCAGGAGAGGUAAGCGGAAUUCCUAGUGUAGCGGUGAAAUGCGUAGAUAUUAGGAGGAACACCAGUGGCGAAGGCGGCUUACUGGACUGUAACUGACGUUGAGGCUCGAAAGCGUAGGGAGCAAACAGG
rnacentral:rRNA from 1 species